rnacentral:rRNA from 1 species
UUAAGCGACUAAGCGUACACGGUGGAUGCCUAGGCAGUCAGAGGCGAUGAAGGGCGUGCUAAUCUGCGAUAAGCGUCGGUAAGCUGAUAUGAAGCGUUAUACCCGACGAUACCCGAAUGGGGAAACCCAGUGUGUUUCGACACACUAUCAUUACGUGAAUACAUAGCGUAAUGAGGCGAACCGGGGGAACUGAAACAUCUCAGUACCCCGAGGAAAAGAAAUCAACCGAGAUUCCCCUAGUAGCGGCGAGCGAACGGGGAGGAGCCCAGAACCUGAAUCAGUUUGUGUGUUAGUGGAAGCGUCUGGAAAGUCGCACAGUAAAGGGUGAUAGUCCCGUACACAAAAAUGCACAGAUUGUGAGUUCGAUGAGUAGGGCGGGACACGUGACAUCCUGUCUGAAUAUGGGGGGACCAUCCUCCAAGGCUAAAUACUCCUGACUGACCGAUAGUGAACCAGUACCGUGAGGGAAAGGCGAAAAGAACCCCGGCGAGGGGAGUGAAAUAGAACCUGAAACCGUGUACGUACAAGCAGUGGGAGCCUUGAUUAAUCAGGGUGACUGCGUACCUUUUGUAUAAUGGGUCAGCGACUUAUAUUCUGUAGCAAGGUUAACCGUAUAGGGGAGCCGUAGGGAAACCGAGUCUUAACUGGGCGUUAAGUUGCAGGGUAUAGACCCGAAACCCGGUGAUCUAGCCAUGGGCAGGUUGAAGGUUGGGUAACACUAACUGGAGGACCGAACCGACUAAUGUUGAAAAAUUAGCGGAUGACUUGUGGCUGGGGGUGAAAGGCCAAUCAAACCGGGAGAUAGCUGGUUCUCCCCGAAAGCUAUUUAGGUAGCGCCUCGUGAAUUCAUCUUCGGGGGUAGAGCACUGUUUCGGCUAGGGGGUCAUCCCGACUUACCAACCCGAUGCAAACUACGAAUACCGAAGAAUGUUAUCACGGGAGACACACGGCGGGUGCUAACGUUCGUCGUGAAGAGGGAAACAACCCAGACCGCCAGCUAAGGUCCCAAAGUCAUGGUUAAGUGGGAAACGAUGUGGGAAGGCACAGACAGCCAGGAUGUUGGCUUAGAAGCAGCCAUCAUUUAAAGAAAGCGUAAUAGCUCACUGGUCGAGUCGGCCUGCGCGGAAGAUGUAACGGGGCUAAACCAUGCACCGAAGCUGCGGCAGCGACACUUAGGUGUUGUUGGGUAGGGGAGCGUUCUGUAAGCCGUCGAAGGUGGCCUGUGAGGGUUGCUGGAGGUAUCAGAAGUGCGAAUGCUGACAUAAGUAACGAUAAUGCGGGUGAAAAACCCGCACGCCGGAAGACCAAGGGUUCCUGUCCAACGUUAAUCGGGGCAGGGUGAGUCGACCCCUAAGGCGAGGCUGAAAAGCGUAGUCGAUGGGAAACAGGUUAAUAUUCCUGUACUCGGUGUUACUGCGAAGGGGGGACGGAGAAAGCUAGGUUAUCCGGGCGACGGUUGUCCCGGUUUAAGCGUGAAGGUGGAUGACUUUGGUAAAUCCGGGUCGUCAUUAACACUGAGGCGUGAUGACGAGUCACUACGGUGAUGAAGUAACCAAUGCUACGCUUCCAGGAAAAGCCUCUAAGCUCCAGGUAACAUCAAAUCGUACCCCAAACCGACACAGGUGGUCAGGUAGAGAAUACUCAGGCGCUUGAGAGAACUCGGGUGAAGGAACUAGGCAAAAUGGUGCCGUAACUUCGGGAGAAGGCACGCUGAUGGUAGGUGAAGUGACUUGCUCACGGAGCUGAAAUCAGUCGAAGAUACCAGCUGGCUGCAACUGUUUAAUAAAAACACAGCACUGUGCAAACACGAAAGUGGACGUAUACGGUGUGACGCCUGCCCGGUGCCGGAAGGUUAAUUGAUGGGGUCAGCCGCAAGGCGAAGCUCUUGAUCGAAGCCCCGGUAAACGGCGGCCGUAACUAUAACGGUCCUAAGGUAGCGAAAUUCCUUGUCGGGUAAGUUCCGACCUGCACGAAUGGCGUAAUGAUGGCCAGGCUGUCUCCACCCGAGACUCAGUGAAAUUGAACUCGCUGUGAAGAUGCAGUGUACCCGCGGCAAGACGGAAAGACCCCGUGAACCUUUACUAUAGCUUGACACUGAACCUUGAGCCUUGAUGUGUAGGAUAGGUGGGAGGCUUUGAAGCGUGGACGCCAGUCUGCGUGGAGCCAACCUUGAAAUACCACCCUUUAAUGUUUGAUGUUCUAACGUGGGCCCGUGAUCCGGGUUGCGGACAGUGUCUGGUGGGUAGUUUGACUGGGGCGGUCUCCUCCCAAAGCGUAACGGAGGAGCACGAAGGUUAGCUAAUCCUGGUCGGACAUCAGGAGGUUAGUGCAAAGGCAUAAGCUAGCUUGACUGCGAGAGUGACAGCUCGAGCAGGUGCGAAAGCAGGUCUUAGUGAUCCGGUGGUUCUGAAUGGAAGGGCCAUCGCUCAACGGAUAAAAGGUACUCCGGGGAUAACAGGCUGAUACCGCCCAAGAGUUCAUAUCGACGGCGGUGUUUGGCACCUCGAUGUCGGCUCAUCACAUCCUGGGGCUGAAGUAGGUCCCAAGGGUAUGGCUGUUCGCCAUUUAAAGUGGUACGCGAGCUGGGUUUAGAACGUCGUGAGACAGUUCGGUCCCUAUCUGCCGUGGGCGUUGGAAGAUUGAGAGGGGUUGCUCCUAGUACGAGAGGACCGGAGUGAACGCACCACUGGUGUUCGGGUUGUGAUGCCAAUUGCAUUGCCCGGUAGCUAAGUGCGGAAGAGAUAACCGCUGAAAGCAUCUAAGCGGGAAACUUGCCUCGAGAUGAGUCUUCCCU